rnacentral:rRNA from 1 species
CGCGCAGGCGGCCUGGGAAGUCUUGGGUGAAAGCCCCCAGCCCAACUGGGGAAUGGCCUGAGAAACCACUAGGCUGGAGUGCUGGAGAGGGAAGCGGAAUUCCCGGUGGAGCGGUGAAAUGCGUAGAUAUCGGGAGGAACACCAGAGGCGAAGGCGGCUUCCUGGACAGACACUGACGCUGAGGCGCGAAAGCUAGGGGAGCAAACG